ensembl:scaRNA
GGCCUCUUGUCCUUUGGGCUGUGGGGCUCACGUUCUCUUCAGCCAGGGCUGGAGGCCAAGAUCAGCAUGUGAGGUGCAUCUUCGUCAGGACUGCUGUGAGCAGGCAGCCUUGUUUUCCGGCCUCAGACAAUU